AGAGAGAGAGUGGGAGGCAAGCUUUGUGUAAAAUAAACCGAAUGAAUAGACAUAGAUGCCGCUAUUAUAGGUUACAUUAUUGGCUCUGUUAAACACAUCUUACGCUAUCUGCAUCAACUAAUUUAUAUCUCAGUCGCUGAUAUUGACUUAGUUUUAUGCUUCUGUGGCAAGAACUGAAUAUUUUAUUCUCGCCUCCGCAAGGAAAUAACGGGCAGGGCUGCAAUUUUAUUUAUUUAUUUUCCCUCAUGCGCUCUGCAACGCUGGGGAAAACGUGAUCACGCUAGACUGUGUUAUUUGACCGAUCAUGGAUUAAUGGUUGCGUGAUCUGCAUACGAGAGGCUCCCAAUGCUGAACAUGUCCACUCCCACUGACCUCAAGUCUCCUUGCGUAACGCGGAACGGCAUGGUCAAGCUGCCCCCCCAGCCCAAUGGCCUAGGCUCUGCCAGUAUCACCAAAGGGACCCCCGCUGCCAAGAACCGCCUGUGCCAGUCCUCCUCAGUACCCACCAUCCUGCCUCCACCCAGCCUGCCCUACCACCUGGAGCCCCUGCCCACGGCAGCCUCGCUGCUGGGACCAGACCUGGACACUAGCCCUCUAACGGCCAUGAAGCCCCCGUUGCGGCAGUUCCCCAAGCCCCUGAUGGAGCGGCAGCUGGUGCUGGACGAGAAGGUGCUCAACCGGCUACUGUGGUACUUCACCACGGCCGAGAAGUGCAUCUUGGCCCAGGUGUGCAAGACGUGGCGGAAAGUGCUCUACCAGCCUAAGUUCUGGGAAGGUGUGACGCCCAUCCUUCACGCCAAGGAACUGUACACACUCCUGCCCAACGGGGAGAAGGAGUUUGUCAGCUUGCAGGCGUUUGCGCUGCGGGGUUUCCAGUCCUUUUGUUUGGUGGGGGUCUCCGACUUGGACAUUUGUGAGUUCAUCGACAACUAUCCCCUGUCGAAGAAAGGUGUUAAGUCUGUCAGCCUGAAGAGGUCAACCAUCACGGACGCAGGACUCGAGGUGAUGUUAGAACAGAUGCAAGGCCUGAUGCACCUGGAGCUGUCGGGCUGUAAUGACUUCACUGAGGCGGGCCUGUGGUCGAGCCUGAACGCGCGGCUCACCUCGCUCAGUGUCAGCGACUGCAUCAAUGUGGCAGACGAUGCCAUCGCCGCCAUCUCUCAGCUGCUGCCCAACCUGUCCGAGUUGAGCCUGCAGGCCUACCACGUCACCGACACGGCCAUGGCCUACUUCACCGCCAAGCAGGGCUACACCACCCACACACUGCGACUGCACUCCUGCUGGGAGAUCACCAACCACGGCGUAGUCAACAUGGUGCACAGCCUGCCAAAUCUGACCGCACUGAGCCUGUCCGGCUGCUCCAAGAUCACGGACGAUGGUGUGGAGCUGGUGGCCGAGAACCUGCGCAAGCUGCGCAGCUUGGACCUGAGCUGGUGUCCGCGCAUCACCGACAUGGCGCUCGAGUACAUCGCCUGCGACCUGCACAAGCUGGAGGAGCUCGUGCUCGACCGGUGUGUGCGGAUCACUGACACUGGAUUAGGCUACUUGUCCACCAUGUCUUCUCUUCGAAGCCUUUACCUGCGUUGGUGCUGUCAGGUUCAGGAUUUUGGCUUACAGCAUCUCUUUGGUAUGAGAAGCCUGAGGCUGCUCUCUCUAGCCGGCUGCCCCCUGCUGACCACUAAUGGCCUCUCAGGUCUGAUCCAGCUGCAGGACCUGGAGGAGCUGGAGCUGACCAACUGUCCGGGGGCCACGGCCGAGCUCUUCAAGUACUACUCCCAGCACCUGCCCCGCUGCAUGGUCAUCGAGUAGCCACCGGGGGGCGCCGGAGUGCCGGAGAGGCAGCACACCACCACAUCACCAAACUCCUUCUCCUUCAGUUUGAAAGAAAAUUUAAAAAACGACAAGACGACUUAAACUGAACUUCAUCCAGGACCCUAGGGGGCAGUGAAAAAAAAAAAAGGGAAUGCGAAAACAAGCGAGGGUCUUGCGUUGACUGAUGGAAGCGUGCACAGAGAAAUGACGAGACGGAGAUGCAGACAAGACAAGACGAGACAAGGAGUGGGGAAAAAGCAAUGGCCUCAACAGACAUGCGCAAAAGGGAUGCUGUGUGUAUAGAACAUGUGACAAUUCGUUCCUGAGUCUAGAUUUUCAUUUCUACCACUGGAUAGACACGCAGGCGUUACAUGCUCACACAGGCAUUAUACACUCAAACACAUUAACGUCAGCUGAAAUAACACGAAAUGCCAACAACAAUAAUACACACAUGUGAACUCCAUGGAACUCUUGAGUCCUAAUUUUGGUGUUCCACCAUCUGAUGUUUUUUUUUCCCUUUUUCUCUUGAAGCCAGCAGGUACUACAUGAUCUGCUUAUGCUAUCUUUCAUAAUUCCAUGAGAGAAAGAGUGAAUGACGAAGAAGGAGAAGAGAGUUGUAGAAGAGAGAGAAAGACUAGUUGAUGAUGGGAAGUUAAGGUCAUCAUGGUGCUACUAGCAGACCCCCCCUGGGUUCUACAUCACAUGCUGAGAGCCGUUGCUGUGCCAUACCAAGACGUUCGGUGGGCUUGACCUCUAUGACCUUGUGUGCUGUCGCAGCCAAGCUGAGACUCGUUAAACAGAGAAACAUGUUGCAGUAUUUGCAAUUACUGAGUCUCAUUUUGCUUUUUUUUUUAAACUUUAUUGGAAAAAAAGGGAAACAGGCUUGGCUUAUGAAGCGCAGUUUAACCUGAAACACAUGCAGUCCUGGAGUCCAUUUCUCUCCCUUUUAUUCAGUACAUGACAAAGUUUUUUAAAAAGCAGAGAAACUAUACAUGCUGUAUGAAUUAUGUGUCACUGAGACCAUGCAUAGUAUUUGAGGUUAACAUAACAAAUAACUAUAUACACCUUUUGAAAUGUAUUGUUUGUGUAUAAAAAAACAUAGAAUUUUCACUGGGAACCAAUAACUGUUCCUGCUUUGUGGGGAAUGUGUGUGAACCUUCACCAGUGUGGCAGAACAUAAAAUAAAUAAAUAAAUAAAUAAUCAUUUGUAAGGGUCCUCAAAGUACGUCAGAAGCGAUUCCCCUGGACGUUGAGCCCAGGGAUAAGGUGUGCAUACAUGUACUGUAACCCAGAAGUCAGGGAUGGGGAGAUCUCCCCGUCAUAUCUGGCUGUAUUCCUGCAUGAGUUGAUCAGUUUCCUUGUCACUGGAAAUGCAGCAGAACAGAGUUACGAAGUGAAUGCAAAACAAAGCAAACAAAAAAAUAAUCAAAGAGUGGCUGUCUUAAAAGGGAUGAGAAGAUAUGCAAGAGGUUACUAGUUUGUCUUAUAAACAGAGUUACGUAUUGAUGACGACAAGAGAUGCCUUCUACAGAGGCUCCAAUGCUGACAAAUGACUGGUUUUCAUCAAUGCAAGUUGGCAUCAGUGAUUUUUCCAUAUGAGGAUGGCUUCAGGUCUUUGUGUGUUUCUAUGCGAGCAUGGGGACAUGCUACAUCAGUUUUCCCUCCUCUACUACAGGAAGUGGGUCUAGCGGGGGACCAUUUGGGAGCCAUUUGAUUCUGCAGACAUCUGCCCUCAGUGGCUUUCCGAUGACAAAUCUGUUUGUGUGGCCCUAAAGUGAUGGUGGCUUUUGCAGAACUAAUUCACAGACAGGUCUUCAGAAUGAUCGAGGAUUUUUACAGACUAAGUUCACAUAAAAAAUGGAUUUCUCAUUUUAAAGCCACUCCCACACCACAGCAAACCACUCCACCCCCCCCCCCCCCCUCCCCGAACCCCUCACCACCACCGUCACCGCAGUGAGCAACACAGCCAGCUGUCUCGUAAUGAAACUCUUUAUGAGAUUACCACAUCCACUCCAUUCGCCAUCUCCAUCCACUUCUCCACCAAAGCCAUCGAGAGCUCAGACCUGCAGGGCCUCUCAGCUGCCCGAAGGCUGUUCUGGAAUCAGCCCUCGUAAGACAACCCCCCACCCCACCCCACCCCCCUGAGUCAUUUCCAAAGAUGGGACUCACUAUAAGAGAGCGGUUUCACCCUGUGAGAGGAACAUUAGUGUAUUUUUGUCAUGGAUGACUAAAAUUCUUUUUUUUUAAACAACCCGGGUAUGUAAUUAUACACUUGAUACUAAAUCAUAUUAAUAGCGCUUUAACCUUUCACAGACGGGUCAGUUUGGGAGUUGUUGUCAUGGAAACGCAUAGCUAGGAAUGCCUGGUUGAGUGACUGUGGUUUGACAGGCUAAUAACUUAAGAAAUUGUGUCUCUGCAUAAUGCUUACCAUCUCUCAACUGUUAUCGUUUUUAUUUGAAUGAUUCUUUUGAAAAUGUUUUUGGAUUUCACAGUUGUGACAUACCAGUCAUGACUUUGGGCUGUUUUUACUUUUGGAUUUUUUGUUUUUAUUUGCUGUAAAUAAUUCUGUGGUGAUUCAUUUUGACAGAGGGAUAUAACAGAGGACUUUCUAUUUGCUCCAUCCCAUGGCUGCAGUGCCUUGUCAGACGAGCGUUGUUGUUUUGAAAUGGUUCGGUUCCAGUCUGCACUGUUUUAGUAAAAGUUGUACAAAAGUAUGAACAAGGGUUGCGUUCAGAGUUUUUUCUUCUUCCUCGUCACACAGUAUCAUACAUAAGGAAACAUCCCAUGUCUACACCUUGCAAGCACAGAAGAAAAGAACACAGACGCCAAAGCACAGAUGGAGAAACAGACAAAUAAACACACACACACACACACACAAGCACACACACUUACAUACACACACACACACACACACAGGAGGGGAACGAGGGAAACAUUGGCAACAUAGAGAAACAACACAACACAACACAAGCCAUACACAUGAAGACUCAGACGCUGCAAAACUACUAACUCAACACAAGCCAUACACAUGAAGACUCAGACGCUGCAAAACUACUAACUCAACACACACCCAC